rnacentral:rRNA from 1 species
UACAGAGGCCUCGAGCGUUAGGCGGAAUCACUGGGCUUAAAGCGUGUGUAGGCGGAUUGGUAAGUACCUUGUGAAAUCCCACAGCUUAACUGUGGAACUGCUCGGUAUACUGCUGAUCUUGAGCCACUCAGGGGCUACCGGAACAAAUGGUGGAGCGGUGAAAUGCGUUGAUAUCAUCUGGAAUACCGGAGGCGAAGGCGGCUCACUGGGGGUUUUCUGACGCUGAGGAACGAAAGCCAGGGUAGCGAACGGG